rnacentral:rRNA from 1 species
GACGAACGCUGGCGGCGUGCUUAACACAUGCAAGUCGAACGGUGAAGGGGUCUGCUUUUGUGGGCCCUGGAUGAGUGGCGAACGGGUGAGUAACACGUGAGUAACCUGCCCCCUUCUUCUGGAUAACCGCAUGAAAGUGUGGCUAAUACGGGAUAUUCUGGGUCUGUCGCAUGAUGGGUCUGGGAAAGAUUGCGCCUUUGGGUGUUUUUGGUGGGGGAUGGGCUCGCGGCCUAUCAGCUUGUUGGUGGGGCGAUGGCCUACCAAGGCGGUGACGGGUAGCCGGCCUGGGAGGGUGGACGGUCACACUGGGACUGAGACACGGCCCAGACUCCUACGGGAGGCAGCAGUGGGGAAUAUUGCACAAUGGGCGCAAGCCUGAUGCAGCGACGCCGCGUGAGGGAUGGAGGCCUUCGGGUUGUAAACCUCUUUCGCCAGUGAAGCAGGCCUGCUCCUUGUGGGUGGGUUGACGGUAGCUGGAUAAGAAGCGCCGGCUAACUACGUG